GAUGAACGCUGGCGGCGUGCCUAAUACAUGCAAGUCGAGCGAACAGACGAGGAGCUUGCUCCUCUGACGUUAGCGGCGGACGGGUGAGUAACACGUGGAUAACCUACCUAUAAGACUGGGAUAACUUCGGGAAACCGGAGCUAAUACCGGAUAAUAUAUUGAACCGCAUGGUUCAAUAGUGAAAGACGGUUUUGCUGUCACUUGUAGAUGGAUCCGCGCCGCAUUAGCUAGUUGGUAAGGUAACGGCUUACCAAGGCAACGAUGCGUAGCCGACCUGAGAGGGUGAUCGGCCACACUGGAACUGAGACACGGUCCAGACUCCUACGGGAGGCAGCAGUAGGGAAUCUUCCGCAAUGGGCGAAAGCUUGACGGAGCAACGCCGCGUGAGUGAUGAAGGUCUUCGGAUCGUAAAACUCUGUUAUUAGGGAAGAACAAAUGUGUAAGUAACUAUGCACGUCUUGACGGUACCUAAUCAGAAAGCCACGGCUAACUACGUG
rnacentral:rRNA from 1 species